GAAGAACUACGUAUGACUUGAUCCCUCAAUAAGGGUACGUAGGCAACCGAGGUUCACCUAGGUGUAGCCACAAGUUUAGGAUUUGUUGGUUAUGUUUAGUUAUGUUAAGAGGAUUUUGCUGACUUAUUUAUGUUGGUAAAGAGGCGCAUGAAGCCCAUUGAAACUUUUGCUAAUUUGUGUGUGGUCUAUACCUUAUGCUUG
rnacentral:lncRNA from 1 species